rnacentral:tRNA from 1 species
UCCCUCAUAGCUCAGUUAGUAAAGAAUCUGCCUGCAAUGCAGAAGACCCGGGUUCGAUUCCUGGGUUGGGAA